CCUAGAUAUCGCGAUGGAUAUCGCUGUUUGCACAUUCAAUGGCGGCCUUACCAACGUCUUGCAAAUAUUCAAGAUAUACAUACAAGAUAUUCACAUACAACAGCACAAGAAAACAAAUUUGAACUAACUGGUGAUGAGAGGAAUUAACGACAUCAGAGUCAGGGCGGCUAGGUGGUCUAGUGGAGUAAGGCUCCGAUGUUGGAGGUGGAAAUUGGUGUACAGUUAUAUAAUUUCUGCAUCGAAGCCGACGCCAAACGCAUUACGCACGCGGAGACAUCUCUGAGCGACGCAGAAAAAAGUGCGCGCGCGCUCCAAAAAUCCACCAGGAAAGACGAAGAAGACGAAAAUUUGGCCAUCGAAGGACAAAUGUAUGGUGCUGGGAUUGCAGACUAACGAUUCAAAAGUGCACCAGUGGUGCUGCGUGCCGCGGAGCCCUGCAAGCAAAACAUGCCCCGGGAAGAUAGCUGUGGAACCGCCAUUUUGUUUUUUUUUGCUGUAAAAAAAUUUGAUAAUA